UCUCCGUUGGUGAACCAGCGGAGGGAUCAUUACAGAGUUUACAACUCCCAAAACCCAAAUGUGAACAUACCAAUCGUUGCUUCGGCGGACCCGUCCCGGCGUCCGGAUGGCCCUGUGGGGCCGUCCGCGGCCCGGACCCAGGCGGCCGCCGGGGACCCAACCAAAACUUUUUGUAUUCUCAGUUUCUUCUGAAUCCGCCGCAAGGCAAAACAAAUGAAUCAAAACUUUCAACAACGGAUCUCUUGGUUCUGGCAUCGAUGAAGAACGCAGCGAAAUGCGAUAAGUAAUGUGAAUUGCAGAAUUCAGUGAAUCAUCGAAUCUUUGAACGCACAUUGCGCCCGCCAGCAUUCUGGCGGGCAUGCCUGUUCGAGCGUCAUUUCAACCCUCGAGCUCCCUUUGGGGAGCCCGGCGUUGGGGAUCGGCUGUACCGCCGGCCCCGAAAUGGAGUGGCGGCCCGUCCGCGGCGACCUCUGCGUAGUAACAACCACUCGCACCGGAACCCCGACGUGGCCACGCCGUAAAACACCCCACUUUCUGAACGUUGACCUCGGAUCAGGUAGGAAUACCCGCUGAACUUAAGCAUAUCAAUAAGCGGAGGAAAAGAAACCAACAGGGAUUGCCCCAGUAACGGCGAGUGAAGCGGCAACAGCUCAAAUUUGAAAUCUGGUCCCCAAGGCCCGAAUUGUAAUUUGUAGAGGAUGCUUUUGGCAAGGUGCCUUCCGAGUUCCCUGGAACGGGACGCCAUAGAGGGUGAGAGCCCCGUCUGGUCGGAUACCAAGCCUCUGUAAAGCUCCUUCGACGAGUCGAGUAGUUUGGGAAUGCUGCUCAAAAUGGGAGGUAUAUGUCUUCUAAAGCUAAAUAUUGGCCAGAGACCGAUAGCGCACAAGUAGAGUGAUCGAAAGAUGAAAAGCACUUUGAAAAGAGGGUUAAAAAGUACGUGAAAUUGUUGAAAGGGAAGCGCCUAUGACCAGACUUGGGCCCGGUGAAUCAUCCAGCGUUCUCGCUGGUGCACUUUGCCGGGCACAGGCCAGCAUCAGUUUGGCGCGGGGGAUAAAGGCUUUGGGAAUGUGGCUCCCUCGGGAGUGUUAUAGCCCAUUGCGCAAUACCCUGCGCCGGACUGAGGUACGCGCAUUGCAAGGAUGCUGGCGUAAUGGUCAUCAGCGAC
rnacentral:sRNA from 1 species